GGCCUGGUGGUGUACUGGUAACAUGUCUUCUUGUUAUAAGACCUGAAGACUUUGCAGAAGACGAACCUCGUUCGAUUCGGGGCUGGGCCA